GAAAUUGUUCCAUUUCAGGACUGAAUGAAAAUUUUUGACUUUGCAGUCGGAAUUGCGAAGACAUUUUGACGUACAAAUCGAUCAUCUGACUUUGGUAUAGGGGCGAAAGACUAAUCGAACUAUCUAAUAG
rnacentral:ncRNA from 1 species